UACGGGGGGGAGCAAGCGUUGUUCGGAUUUACUGGGCGUAAAGAGCGCGCAGGCGGUCGUUCAAGUCGCGUGUGAAAGCCCCCGGCUCAACUGGGGAGGGUCACGCGAUACUGAUCGACUCGAAGGCAGGAGAGGGUAGUGGAAUUCCCGGUGUAGUGGUGAAAUGCGUAGAUAUCGGGAGGAACACCAGUGGCGAAGGCGACUACCUGGCCUGUUCUUGACGCUGAGGCGCGAAAAGCUAGGGGAGCAAACGGGG
rnacentral:rRNA from 1 species